rnacentral:rRNA from 1 species
AGUGAACGCUGGCGGUAGGCCUAACACAUGCAAGUCGAACGGCAGCACAGUAAGAGCUUGCUCUUACGGGUGGCGAGUGGCGGACGGGUGAGGAAUACAUCGGAAUCUACUUUUUCGUGGGGGAUAACGUAGGGAAACUUACGCUAAUACCGCAUACGACCUACGGGUGAAAGCAGGGGAUCUUCGGACCUUGCGCGAUUGAAUGAGCCGAUGUCGGAUUAGCUAGUUGGCGGGGUAAAGGCCCACCAAGGCGACGAUCCGUAGCUGGUCUGAGAGGAUGAUCAGCCACACUGGAACUGAAACACGGUCCAGACUCCUACGGGAGGCAGCAGUGGGGAAUAUUGGACAAUGGGCGCAAGCCUGAUCCAGCCAUACCGCGUGGGUGAAGAAGGCCUUCGGGUUGUAAAGCCCUUUUGUUGGGAAAGAAAAGCAGCAGGUUAAUACCCCGCUGUUCUGACGGUACCCAGAGAAUAAGCACCGGCUAACUUCGUG